rnacentral:tRNA from 1 species
GGGUAUAUAGCUCAGUGGUAGAGCACAUGCUUAGCAUGCACCCGGUCCUGGGUUCCAUCUCCAGUACCUCCA